GACUCUCGGCAACGGAUAUCUCGGCUCUCGCAUCGAUGAAGAACGUAGCAAAAUGCGAUACUUGGUGUGAAUUGCAGAAUCCCGUGAACCAUCGAGUCUUUGAACGCAAGUUGCGCCCGAAGCCAUCCCGGUCGAGGGCACGCCUGCCUGGGCGUCACGCAUCGCGUCGCGCC
rnacentral:rRNA from 1 species